rnacentral:rRNA from 1 species
UACGUAGGGGGCGAGCGUUGUCCGGAUUUAUUGGGCGUAAAGAGCUCGUAGGCGGUUUGGUAAGUUGGAUGUGAAAUCUCCAGGCUCAACUUGGAGGGGUCAUUCGAUACUGCCAUGACUAGAGUUCGGUAGGGGAGUGUGGAAUUCCUGGUGGAGCGGUGAAAUGCGCAGAUAUCAGGAGGAACACCAAUGGCGAAGGCAGCUCGCUGGGACGGUACUGACGCUGAGGCGCGAAAGCGUGGGGAGCAAACAGG